CUUGCUAUCAGGCGUCGAGCGGCGGACGGGUGAGUAAUACUUAGGAAUCUACCUAGUAGUGGGGGAUAGCACGGGGAAACUCGUAUUAAUACCGCAUACGACCUACGGGAGAAAGGGGGCAGUUUACUGCUCUCGCUAUUAGAUGAGCCUAAGUCGGAUUAGCUAGAUGGUGGGGUAAAGGCCUACCAUGGCGACGAUCUGUAGCUGGUCUGAGAGGAUGAUCAGCCACACCGGGACUGAGACACGGCCCGGACUCCUACGGGAGGCAGCAGUGGGGAAUAUUGGACAAUGGGGGAAACCCUGAUCCAGCCAUGCCGCGUGUGUGAAGAAGGCCUUUUGGUUGUAAAGCACUUUAAGCAGUGAAGAAGACUCUUCGGUUAAUACCCGGAGACGAUGACAUUAGCUGCAGAAUAAGCACCGGCUAACUCUGUGCCAGCAGCCGCGGUAAUACAGAGGGUGCAAGCGUUAAUCGGAAUUACUGGGCGUAAAGGGAGCGUAGGUGGCUCUAUAAGUCAGAUGUGAAAUCCCCGGGCUUAACCUGGGAACUGCAUCUGAAACUGUAGAGCUAGAGUAUGUGAGAGGGAGGUAGAAUUUCAGGUGUAGCGGUGAAAUGCGUAGAGAUCUGAAGGAAUACCGAUGGCGAAGGCAGCCUCCUGGCAUAAUACUGACACUGAGGCUCGAAAGCGUGGGUAGCAAACAGGAUUAGAUACCCUGGUAGUCCACGCCGUAAACGAUGUCUACUAGUCGUUGGGUCCCUUGAGGACUUAGUGACGCAGCUAACGCAAUAAGUAGACCGCCUGGGGAGUACGGCCGCAAGGUUAAAACUCAAAUGAAUUGACGGGGGCCCGCACAAGCGGUGGAGCAUGUGGUUUAAUUCGAUGCAACGCGAAGAACCUUACCUGGUCUUGACAUAUCUAGAAUCCUGCAGAGAUGCGGGAGUGCCUUCGGGAAUUAGAAUACA
rnacentral:rRNA from 1 species